rnacentral:lncRNA from 1 species
GGGGAGUACGAAUUUACCAGUAAAAGGGCCAAAGAGUGUAAUCAAGAUCGAAGACAACAAGGCGAGGAAGGGUUCCGUGGAGUCCGAUGAUCUGUUCAGCCUCGUCGUUCGACAUCCUCUCUCUCAAACGCGCUCAAGCACGGAGGGAGAGUCGUCUGGUCUUCCUAAAAUAGCGUUAACUGUACGUGAUUUUUGGAGUUAAUUGUUCAAAUGUUCACUGAACUUUGACCCAUAUUUUCUAUUGGUUACUAAAAUUUAAAAUAUCAAAUUUUGAUAGUCUAUUGAGUGCACUCACUGUUCAAGAAUCUAUCUCUAAUAGUUCUUCCUUACUUAGCCUUAAAGCUACUCUAAAGCGGUAGAAUAAGAAUUGAGUGCACUCACUACUCAGGAAUCUAUCUCUAAUAGUUCUUCCUUGCUUAGUCUUAAAGCUACUCUAAAGAGGUAGAAUAAGAACUAAGGAGCUUUAAGAAGGAGGGGGGUGUCUGAGAUUCUUUAUUUAAUACCUCAAGAAGAGGAUGACG